GUGGAGUAUGAUCAUGCCUGAUAGCAUCUGACCUCAGAAGCUAAGCAGGGCUGUGCCUGGAUAGCACUUGGAUAGGAGACCUAUUUGGAAGACCAGGGGCUGCU
rnacentral:rRNA from 12 species